rnacentral:rRNA from 1 species
GACGAACGCUGGCGGCGUGCCUAAUACAUGCAAGUCGAACGCUGAAGAGAGGAGCUUGCUCUUCUUGGAUGAGUUGCGAACGGGUGAGUAACGCGUAGGUAACCUGCCUUGUAGCGGGGGAUAACUAUUGGAAACGAUAGCUAAUACCGCAUAACAAUGGAUGACACAUGUCAUUUAUUUGAAAGGGGCAAUUGCUCCACUACAAGAUGGACCUGCGUUGUAUUAGCUAGUAGGUGAGGUAAUGGCUCACCUAGGCGACGAUACAUAGCCGACCUGAGAGGGGGUUGGGCCCACCGGGAACUGGACACCGCCCCGACCCCCUAGGGAGGCAGCAGGAGGGGAAUUUUCGGCAGUGGGGGCAACCCGAACCGGGAAACGCGCGGGGGGUGAGAAAGGUUUUCGGAUGGUAAAGCUCGUUUUUAAUCAAGAAAGGGGGGGAGAGGUGAAAGGUCCACCUGUGACCGGAGCUUAACAAAAAGGGACGGCUAACUACGUG